UCCUUUCGACAUCCUUCACCCAGGAUCAUCCACUCCCCAGAACACCUCCACCGCAGCUCCCCCACGCACUCUGGUCUCUCCAGGCUCCCCCUGUCUCCCUCACCACCUCAUCCUCCACCCCAACUUCUUCAUCAGAUAUUUUUAUCUGCCAUGAAAACAACAAAGACUUUGGAAUCAUUUUAACCUUGGUUCAAGGUAUCAUACUUGCUACAUUCAAAGGUCUCAACUCAAAGGAGUGACUCAAAUGACGAACGUUUUAGUCACUGAUGUUACCUGUAGAGGAGACACAGUCUGGGCAGCCAGUCCCAUCAGCAACCUUCAAAUUACACUCAAGAGAGGCCUGGUCACCCUCUAUCUCCCCACCACAAAGGACCCAUCUGGGGAGGAAAGUAACCAGAGGGGAUGGGAGGACAUGGAGUUGGGAGUCACUUCUGGCCAGAGGCAGGAGAUACAUAAAGGCCUUGUUAAGGUAAGGGUAGCACUUCCACACACAACUAAAACCCCAAAAGAAAAAUUCCCAUAAUUCCACAUUUACAUGUAAAACUUUCAAAUUAAUUCUGACAGCAAGAACAUCUGCCAGUUUUGCUAGAAACACCAUCUGGUUCACUUCUGAUAAGGCCCAGGCACAACUUCACACGGGCCAGGAACUGUCUACAGUCUGGUUCCCAAAAGGUGGCAUCCUAGAUGACAGCUCCAAGGCAGGGUGCCAUUCCCCCCUCCCUGGAGCCCCAAAGCCACUGCUGCCAGCUCCUGAUUAGGCCUGAAAUAAACCCAGAGUUUGAUUCUUCCCUAAGUUUCUCCUCCAAGACUUCCAGGCACCACCCUUACAACCAGGAUUAAUUUAAGCAAGUCUGUCUUCAAAAACCAGAUAAAUACUACAGCAACAUGACAAACAGCCAGAAGUACUUGAGUUUCAGAGGUUCUUUUACAAAGUGGGUGGGAGGGCCGCUUCUUCACUCAAGAGUCUUAACUUGUGAUUAGCUAAGAGUAAGAGGGUCCCCUCCACAAGACCUUUAAGGUCCUCCAAGUGUCUUCCUUUCGCCAAGCCAACAAGAAACACUUUGAUGCGCUUCAUGAGGCCUUCAGGCAGCCAUAAAUAAGGAAAAGAAAGCAGCCUGGGAGUCAGGGCAGACUUGUCUCGAGGUGUAAUGACUCGGCUGGUGGAAGCGCCACAGCAGGCCCACUGUUGAGAUCCUGAUGGGAAAUUAAGCAUAAAAUGUGAACUCAACACCCACAGCAAGGAUACACUCCAAGGAAAAAUGGACUACAAGGCUCACCAGUCACCAUCAAAUGUAAAUGGAAAAGGGUGUGUUCGAAACACAGGGUAACAGGAUAAAAACUAUCAAGUGCAAGACUCUGCACAAGCAUGCACAUGCUUCCUUCCAGUACACCAGGCAAACCUGGGCUGCUAAAACUGCAAACACUGCAGUGUCUACACUGUUCACCAAUUCUGGGUAAGGACUUCGUGACCCCUAUGAAGAAGGGAGCAAGGCAAACGUGGUAACGCUUGAGAUGUAAAAAGAGAACCGAAAAGGGGAGGGUGAGAAGCGUACUGUACAAACCCAAGGUGAGAAGCCAGGGCAAAGUCAGCUCUGGCUCCACAAGUGGGUUUGGAGACUAGAACCUCUCACUCUCGGAUAACAAGACUGAGCAGGGUCUUUUUCUUUCCCUCGCAAAAUGUGAAUACACAGAACUGGAAGCUCAAGACUGAUUUCCCACCAAGUCUGGCUUCAGCUCACCCAGUCAUCCGCACAGACGGGCAGCUAGCUGAGAAGCAGGUGGGGAGUGUCACGAGCAGCCCCAAAGGGGUGUGGGGAGAGAAGCUGAGAGGCCUUGCGCUGGCCUUCCAGGACACAAGGAGGAGGCCUGGGAGGCUGUCGGCACGGACUAGCAGCAGGGCAGGUGAGCAGAGAAGGCUGGACUGAAGGAGCGGAGAAAACUGAACCCGCUACAAGGGUAGUAUUCAGGAGUCCGCCGCGAGACAAGCCAGGAGGAUGUGAAACAAAAGUAAGAGGAAAUGAGCCCCUCCUCUCUGUCAGUCUGGAUGAAGUCCAUCUGCCUUGGAGAGUGGAGAAAGGAAGUGGUCCAAAACCAGCCUCUCACCUUCCCGGACAAACUGACCCUCAGUAACCCCCGAUGUCCAGGCCAGCGGUGUGUUUCUCAUCCACGGCCCUGGCUGGUACUUCCCACCUGCCUGCUGGUGAGACCUCUCUGGUUUGCAACAGGGGCCAACAGGCCACAAGAGCAUCGGUAUCACCACUUCUACUGCUAACUCAGCACUUGGCCUUAAGACAGGACACCUGUCCUAAACUACACUCUGUGCCUCACAUUCUGAAGCUUUCAGGUGGACAUCACUCUCUCACUUCCAGGGUGACUGAGAGGAAAACAGGCUAACAGGCAAUAAUUACUGGGCACUGACUACGAGCCGGGCACCGGGCUAGCUGCUUUGCAUGUCUCCUCCAAACCCCUGUAUGUAGUAGAUAUUGACUUUAACCCCAUUUUCAGUUGACAAACUGGGGCUUAACAAAAAGACUCACCCAAAGUACCUAAGCCAGACAGAAAACCUAACGCUACAAAAAGCAAGGGUCAGCUACUACUUAACAUCACUUCUUUCCCCAAGUAAACUGCCAUGAGUUAUCUUUUAAUUGUCACACACCAUACCGAGUGUUUUAACUAUCCCAUUUUAUUUGAUUUUCGUGACAAUCCUAGGAGGGGUUACUUUUCAACAUUAUUUAAAUCUUAAUUUAAGUUAUGCAUGCCAAUAGUGAAAAUUCAAAUCAAACAAAAAGCAAGUUUAAGAAGUUAGAGUUAAAAAAAAAAAAAAAAGAAGUUAGAGUUAACCAUUGUAAAGCAAUUAUCCUCCAAUUUUUAAAAAAUAAGUUAAAAAAAAAAGAAGUUAUAGUUUCCUGUUACCCUUUAUCACCCCAGAACUCCCCACCCCAGGUAAUUAUUAAUAUUCUGGUGGCUACCAGAGACAGGUAGCAGUAACAUUACCACUUCCACUUCACAAGUGAUAAAACUCAGAGUCUGAGAGGUUAAACCUGCUUGAGGUCAUGAAGCUGAGAAGUGGCUGAGCAGGGCCAGUGUGAGUGCAAGGCCUGCUCCGCCGCCUCCCACUCAUACCCACUCCCCCGAACAAUCGUCCAUUUUCAUUUGCCAUAGGAAAGGGGGAAACUCUGCCUGGCCCGCAGCCAGUCUCACGCCUCCACUUUCCUGACCAAAUGGAAAAAACAGACAGCGCGGUCUCAGCACACCCUGCCCCAGCAACAUUAGUGCUGCUUUGUGUUUUUCAAACCUCAGCUGUCCUGGCUGAGGCAGGACCUUCCCCUCCAGCCCGCUCACUGUCCACACAGGCUCAUCUUCUGCCUCUGAAAGCAAGAGAGGCAGGACAAUGGGGAAGAGAAGAGGAGGUCAGGCCAGGCCUGCAUGAGACCCUGAAUCCCCACGUCAUCAAGAAAGGACACUCUUCAGGACCCCUUACGAGUGGUAGGCAUCUCAGGGGGGCUCUGGACCCACAGCUGGUGUCCCAGUCAGAACACACCUGCAGAAAGAGCAGGACUGCAACAACGCGGAUACAGGAUGGAACUGCAGAGCCCACAAGAUUCCCACACAGAGUCCUAGGAACUUGGAAUUUCUGCUCUGGCUCAUCCCCAAAUGGACCCUCUAUUAACCCCAAAACUGCACAGGUUUCUAAAUACCAGGGUGUCGCUCCUGUGGCCUUCCUGCUCCUCUGAAAAAAUAAAAUCUUCUCAGACUAUACAGCAAUGCUUUGUCCUUAGGAGAUGCAAUGUGCCCUUCUGAAUUAGGCAUACUUUCACAUCUCUGUCCUACUGACACACAAAAACACACUGACAUACUGAUCUUGAGAGCAGCCAAGCUGACACAGGGAUAGGGAUGAGGAAAGGGGUUGCUACAUUGUUUUCCAUGCACAAGUUAAAAUUUAGCAAGCCUGCAAUUCCAGGAGUUUUCCUGUUUCCCAGCAGGAUACUAAUGUUUGAUUCAGCCUCAGCCCCAGCUGAUUCAGCACCCCUAUUUACCAACACAGUGGAUUCUAAAUGCCCACUGGUCAUCAAAGGCCUUGGCUGUUCCAUUUGUAAAAUGGGACUGAAAUCUUCCUCACAGUAACUAUCUGAUUCCUUACAUACUCUAUAAAGUAAACAGAUCUUUACUGCUAUUAAUAUGAAGACUCAACCUGCCUAAGUAAAUGAGGAAGGAACUUAAACCACUCCUUCUCUCCUCCAGGGGUUUGAAAUCUACGAGGGGAAAAGACUAACCAAAAUACUGAGGAAGGAUUCAAAACCUCUGUUACACUGUGCUGCAAAGAAUCCUGUGGGGAGAUGAUUAUAUGGGAAAGAGCAUUCAAUACUUGUUCAAUUAAUAAAUGAGUUCCGCAUCGUAGAGGCCGCAGCCGUCAGGGACAUUUCUGAAGCGAGUGUUUUCGACGCCUGUGUGCUUCCCAAGCUGUAUGUGAAACUACAUUACUGCGUGAGUUGUGCUAUUCACAGCAAGGUAGUCAGGAAUCGCUCUCGGGAAGCCCGGAAGGACCGAACACCUCCACCCCAAUUUACACCUGUGGGUGCUGCCCCACGUCCUCCACCAAAGCCCAUGUAAGGAUCCAAGUCCUUAAAGACUGAAGAAAUAUUGGUUUCUCUGAAAAGACAAUAAAAUGGAAAUUAUACUUUAAAAAAAAAAAAAA